AGUGAACGCUGGCGGUAGGCCUAACACAUGCAAGUCGAACGAGUGGCGGACGGGUGAGGAAUACGUCGUAAACUACCCUGUCGUGGGGGAUCAAGUAGGGAAACUUACGCUAAUACCGCCUACGCUUGAAUGAGCCGAUGUCGGAUUAGCUAGUUGGCGGGGUAAAGGCCCACCAAGGCGACGAUCGGUCGCUGGUCGGAGGGGAUGAACAGCAAAACUGGAACGGAGACACGGGCCAGACUCCUACGGGGGGCAGCAGUGGGGAAUAUUGGACAAUGGGCGCAAGCCUGAUGCAGCCAUGCCGCGUGUAUGAAGAAGGCCUUCGGGUUGUAAAGUACUUUCAGCGGGGAGGCGUUACCCGCAGAAGAAGCACCGGCUAACUCCGUGCCAGCAGCCGCGGUAAUUC
rnacentral:rRNA from 1 species